CCCCAUUGCUCGGGGUCUCCCAGCCGCCCGCGGGGCCUGGGCUUCCAUCCGCACCCUGGCAUUGGGCAGCUUCCCUGGCAAGGCGCCCCCGGACAGCUGGCAGCCCCCAGGCCUCCCCCGUGCCAGGAGAACGUGUGUGUCGUGCGAGUGCAGGUUUCCAAAUAAUCAAAACUUUUACCUCAAGGUAUGGUGGGAGAAUAUGCUUUGGGGGAGGGGAGGGGUGGGCAAGCGAUGUUUUUGUAAGAUUCAUCCAUUUUUUAGAAGCUUUUUUUCCCUCCAGCCUGCCCUGGAGGCCUGCACUUUGCCCACGACGCACCCGGAAUCGAGUUACCCUUUUUCAUGUACAUAGAAAUACUUUAUUUAUUAACUCCAGUGGUCACUUAAAAAAAAAAAAAAAAGUAUCCUACGUUUUGAAGAGCAGCAGACAAAAUGUGCUAUGGACCUUUGAUAGUUUCCUGUUCUGGUGCUUAUUCCUUGUAUGUUGAUUCAGUUUUGGGGGAAUGGGAUUGUUUGGGAUUCUUUGGGUUUCUUUUUGUAUAGACUUUGAACUUACAGGUAUUGGUAACUUCCAGAUAAAGCAUGUUUUAUUUGUAUAUUCCUAGUCUUCUCCCAUGUCCGUCUUUUUCUCUGUAUCUUGUUUUAAAGUAGAACAGUUGGGAAAAAAAAAAUAAAGCAACAAAGACCCA